rnacentral:misc_RNA from 1 species
UAUUCCAUAAAAAAAAAAUGUAACAAAACCCGAGAUAAAUUAUGAAAACGAAGAGAGUGAAAAGAGCAUAACGAUAAGGAUUAAGGACUACCACAUGUUCUCAUAUUCAACAAGUAAUCAUGUGGCAAAACUUAAAUCACAAUCUCCAACUCUUUCGCCUGUAUAGCAUCUUUUACAUUCUGGUGCCUACAUUGCUAACAAGGACAAGAUGAUCACCAUCUCUGAUGAGCUCCAAAUCCUCAAUUUCGG